rnacentral:tRNA from 1 species
GGCGAGGUGGCCGAGUGGUUAAGGCGACAGACUAGAAUCUGUCCUCGGACACUUUCUUCGCCAUCUGUUGGGUUCGCCCGCGUAGGUUCAAAUCCUGCCCUCGUCG